UUUUUUUUUUGUAAUUCCAGGGGCAGAGGCAGAAGUGAAGCUCAGACCGAAGAGUAUAAUGACUCCGAAAAUUCUACGAUAAAUACGGCCUCUGACGCAGAUUUCGUCGCUGAAGAAAGCAAUGUCUGUGACACUUGUCCAGAAAACAAAGACGUUUACGACACUCAUACAGAAAUAAUUGCAGAAGAAAGAAAAAGAACAGAAAGCAGCAUCACCAAAUUAGAAGGUAGACGAAUAGUGGACAUCAAUUCGUUUAUUGUGCAAAUUCAACAAAUCGAUAAAACAUCCGGCCAAAUACCGGAUGUGAAAAUGUAGUUCGCGAACUAUUGUAUGGGGGCGGUAAAAAUUGUUCAGCAAUGGAGUA